rnacentral:rRNA from 1 species
UACGAAGGGUGCAAGCGUUAAUCGGAAUUACUGGGCGUAAAGCGCGCGUAGGUGGUUUGUUAAGUUGGAUGUGAAAGCCCCGGGCUCAACCUGGGAACUGCAUCCAAAACUGGCAAGCGAGAGUAUGGCAGAGGGUGGUGGAAUUUCCUGUGUAGCGGUGAAAUGCGUAGAUAUAGGAAGGAACACAAGUGGCGAAGGCGAACACCUGGGCUAAUACUGACACUGAGGUGCGAAAGAGUGGGGAGACAACAGGAUUAGAUCCCCCCGUAGUCC